CAGACCCUGGGCUAGCAUGUGCUGCUGAUCUGGGAAUGACUGUGAGGACCAAGGCUUUGCACUCUUUUUGUGGCACUGAUGGUCUCAGCCGAUUAUACAGUGUCGAUAUACACACUCCUCAAGGUUUCUCAUUUCACUCUAGGAGGGGAAUCUGUGGAGUUGAACAGAAUGCAGGUGUGAUUUGGAAGCGGCUGCUUUGGCAGUGCCUGGGAGCUUGUUAGAAAUGCAGCAUCUCAAGCACCGUGCGCAACUGACGGAAUCGGAAUCUGCAUUUCCACACGACCCCAGUGAUUUCCAGAACAUCAAGGGCUGAGAAGCACAGGUCUGGAAACUGGAUGAUUAAAGUCCUCAAAGGGAAACAUUUUGCUGACGUGGAAGAGGCGAAACAAAAAAUGGCAGAAGCACUAAAAGGCAUCAAAAUAAGUUCAAAAACUGUUUGGAUCAGUGGAAAAAAACUCUCAAUGGGUGUAUUGCAUCAAAUGGAGAGUACUUUUUGAAGAGUACAACUGAAGAAUCUCUCUAUUUAAUGACCCAACUUUGAGAAGAAUCUUAUUAUGCAAUUAACACUGAUUAUGAACACAGAUAUACACAUUCUGUCUCUGUACCAGAUAUGGAUGUAACCAGGUACCAGAUAUGUUCUGAAAAUAGGAGGCAGGUGCCUUUCGCCAGCCGAUCACCUGAAGGAAGAAGCACAUGCCCAGCAUGGAGCUCCAUCUGCAAUGCAGUCAAAGGCGUGCUUCUGGCAUCCACUCCACGCAGCACAGUGGCACUUGUGUGUAAACAAGCCUCUUUGAGUGGACCCCUAAGGGUGUAAUAAAGGAAGAAACAUUCUACUUCCUAUCAUAUACAAUGACAAUAAUAUGAAUCAAUACAGCUUUCUGAAAAAUUGCAGAAAUAUGAAGUCAGCAAGUUAGUUUUAAAAGGGACCACUGUAUGGAGAAUGAAGCUCGCAUGUUUGUUGGAGUUUGAAAUGAGUCAUCAUUACCUGUCAACACUGAAGUCAGAGAAUACUGUUGCUUUAUUGAACCUGACAGGGUAGCUUUCUGGAAAGAUGUAGUCAGCAAGGUAGCACAUACGUGGUGAUGGGUAAGCUCCUUUAAGAAGGAAGUAAGUGGAGACAGCAGUCAGACUCCCUGCUGCUCCCUUCAACACUCCCCUCCCGCCCUCCUGUCUUUCCCAUCUCCCUAGUUAUUUGCAUUACCCUAAUUACUUGGGCACACACACACAUACACACCUGCAUUUAUUCAGCCUUAGCAGUCUCAAGCCAGAGAUUCCUUAAAAGUUCUAUUUAUGUUAAAACUCUCUGUCUAGUACCGAUGGAGCCACAGGUUAUAAAACACGAUGGCAAAGGGACGUGAAAUGCAUUCCCAAUGACUUGCCACUCUCGAGUGGAGCAGGUCAGUGAUUUCUCAUGGACAGAAUUGCAUUUGGCUGGACAGCGCAUUGCAAUGAGUCACACAAACAGCUUGCUCGGGGUUUGUAAAGGACGGCUCCGAGGGGCUCAGGGCCAGGCUUAACGCUUCUGCAGGCCUUGUCACGCUCACCAGCAUUACUCAAGACCCUGCACUUUUUUUCCUUGCAAAGGCUUCAGAGUGGAUUUAAAAGGCCCAUCACUUAUGUGGAUAAUGAAGCCUCCAUGCUUGUUGGAGUUUGACAUGAGUCAUUAUUAUGUAUCAACAUGGAGCAUCAUGGCAUGUUGCUGCUUUUAUUAAGCCUGACAGUGCAAAACAAAUGAAAAAGUAAGUUAUUUGCAUCACUGGA